UCAUUCUGCUGGGGGAGCUUUUAAAAGCUGAGACGGAUUUUUCCGGACCCUUUGAACCUGAUCUAGUUCGCACUAGCGUAGGGAAGUGGAGGCUCUUGUCC
rnacentral:ncRNA from 1 species